rnacentral:rRNA from 1 species
AUUGAACGCUGGCGGCAGGCUUAACACAUGCAAGUCGAGCGGAGAUGAGGUGCUUGCACCUUAUCUUAGCGGCGGACGGGUGAGUAAUGCUUAGGAAUCUGCCUAUUAGUGGGGGACAACAUUCCGAAAGGAAUGCUAAUACCGCAUACGCCCUACGGGGGAAAGCAGGGGAUCUUCGGACCUUGCGCUAAUAGAUGAGCCUAAGUCGGAUUAGCUAGUUGGUGGGGUAAAGGCCUACCAAGGCGACGAUCUGUAGCGGGUCUGAGAGGAUGAUCCGCCACACUGGGACUGGGACACGGCCCAGACUCCUACGGGAGGCAGCAGUGGGGAAUAUUGGACAAUGGGCGGAAGCCUGAUCCAGCCAUGCCGCGUGUGUGGAGAAGGCCUUUUGGUUGUAAAGCACUUUAAGCGAGGAGGAGGCUACCUGGAUUAAUACUCUAGGAUAGUGGACGCUACUCGCAGAAUAAGCACCGGCUAACUCUGUGCCAGCCGCCGCGGUAAAAC